GAAAUGCGAUAAGUAAUGUGAAUUGCAGAAUUCAGUGAAUCAUCGAAUCUUUGAACGCACAUUGCGCCCGCCAGUAUUCUGGCGGGCAUGCCUGUUCGAGCGUCAUUUCAACCAUCAAGCCCCGCGCUUGUGUUGGGGACCUGCGGCUGCCGCAGGCCCUGAAAACCAGAGGCGGGCUCGCUGUCACACCGGGCGUAGUAGAUUUUAUCUCGCUCAGGGCGUGCUGCGGGUUCCGGCCGUUAAAAAGCCUUUUUUACCCAAGGUUGACCUCGGAUCAGGUAGGAAGACCCGCUGAACUUAAGC
rnacentral:misc_RNA from 1 species